rnacentral:lncRNA from 1 species
UUUGAUUUCUUGAUGGCUGACUAUGAGUACUGAAAACUCCAACCCGGCAGCGUGUAGUGCUGUGCGCCUCUCCUUAUAGAGUUAAACUCAGCCAGGCCUGCCAGAGAGAAACCCUAAACCGGCGCUACAUUCCUGCAGGAACUCUGUCACAGUCUCAGCUCACACUGGCCUCCAGAUGAACAAGGUGAAGAAAUAGAGAAGGCCAUACCCAUGAGGAAGAGGCUCUUGGCAGACAUGGAAUCUACUGGCACCUUAUUCUUGGAUUCUCAAGCCUCCUAAACACUGGUGCUCUCUCCAGACCUCCCAAAGUCCAGGGAAUAUAUGAACAAUUCUACGCACUGGCUGAAACAGAUACAUACCAAUGGCAGCAUUGCCAAAAGAGUAGACACUGCAACUG